UGGGGAAUAUUGGUCAAUGGGUGCAAGCCUGAACCAGCCAUCCCGCGUGAAGGACGACUGCCCUAUGGGUUGUAAACUUCUUUUGUAUAGGGAUAAACCUACCCUCGUGAGGGUAGCUGAAGGUACUAUACGAAUAAGCACCGGCUAACUCCGUGCCAGCAGCCGCGGUAAUACGGAGGGUGCAAGCGUUAUCCGGAUUUAUUGGGUUUAAAGGGUCCGUAGGCGGACUUAUAAGUCAGUGGUGAAAGCCUGUCGCUUAACGAUAGAACUGCCAUUGAUACUGUAAGUCUUGAGUAUAUUUGAGGUAGCUGGAAUAAGUAGUGUAGCGGUGAAAUGCAUAGAUAUUACUUAGAACACCAAUUGCGAAGGCAGGUUACCAAGAUAUAACUGACGCUGAGGGACGAAAGCGUGGGGAGCGAACA
rnacentral:rRNA from 1 species